GGCUGACGUGGCACGGCAGCUUGCAGUGUCUGCCAGCUGUGAGUAACAGCAGGCUGUCAGGAUGGGAUGUAGCAGAAGCCGCUCCAGCAGCUCCUGAUUUUGGAGCAAAGAUAAAUCCUCUGAUUGAUUUGCUGUGAAGUUCUUCAUUUGGUGACUAAUGCAGAUGUACCGGAUGAGCCUGGCAAAAUCUCUGACCCUUUCUGGUCUUCUCUAUUGUUUCUCACAUGAACAGUCCCACGGAUGCCACUAGAGGAUGAACUCCACUGAAAUGGUGCACGCUAAGACCUUCAGUGCUCCUAACAGUCCAAUCCAGUGACGCAGCAGAGAACAUCUUUCACUCGUUGCCUUUCUCAACAUUCCCGGCAGUUUGGAAUUGUCGACGUGCCUAUUUUUGCAACCACAA
rnacentral:lncRNA from 1 species